rnacentral:rRNA from 1 species
UACGUAGGGCGCAAGCGUUGUCCGGAAUUAUUGGGCGUAAAGAGCUCGUAGGCGGCUUGUCACGUCGGGUGUGAAAGACCGGGGCUUAACCCCGGUUCUGCAUUCGAUACGGGCUGGCUAGAGUGUGGUAGGGGAGAUCGGAAUUCCUGGUGUAGCGGUGAAAUGCGCAGAUAUCAGGAGGAACACCGGUGGUGAAGGCGGAUCUCUGGGCCAUUACUGACGCUGAGGAGCGAAAGCGUGGGGAGCGAACAGG